rnacentral:rRNA from 2 species
GGAUCCAGACUUUGAUUCUGGCUCAGGACGAACGCUGGCGGCGCGCCUAACACAUGCAAGUCGAACGGAGCUGAGAGGAGCUUGCUUUUCUUAGCUUAGUGGCGAACGGGUGAGUAACGCGUGAGUAACCUGCCCUGGAGUGGGGGACAACAGUUGGAAACGACUGCUAAUACCGCAUAAGCCCACGGUGCUGCAUGGCACUGCGGAAAAAGGAUUUAUUCGCUUCAGGAUGGACUCGCGUCCAAUUAGCUAGUUGGUGAGGUAACGGCCCACCAAGGCGACGAUUGGUAGCCGGACUGAGAGGUUGAACGGCCACAUUGGGACUGAGACACGGCCCAGACUCCUACGGGAGGCAGCAGUGGGGGAUAUUGCACAAUGGGGGAAACCCUGAUGCAGCGACGCCGCGUGGAGGAAGAAGGUUUUCGGAUUGUAAACUCCUGUCGUUAGGGACGAUAGUGACGGUACCUAACAAGAAAGCACCGGCUAACUACGUGCCAGCAGCCGCGGUAAAACGUAGGGUGCAAGCGUUGUCCGGAAUUACUGGGUGUAAAGGGAGCGCAGGCGGACCGGCAAGUUGGAAGUGAAAUCCAUGGGCUCAACCCGUGAAUUGCUUUCAAAACUGCUGGCCUUGAGUAGUGCAGAGGUAGGUGGAAUUCCCGGUGUAGCGGUGGAAUGCGUAGAUAUCGGGAGGAACACCAGUGGCGAGGGCGACCUACUGGGCACCAACUGACGCUGAGGCUCGAAAGCAUGGGUAGCAAACAGGAUUAGAUACCCUGGUAGUCCAUGCCGUAAACGAUGAUUACUAGGUGUUGGAGGAUUGACCCCUUCAGUGCCGCAGUUAACACAAUAAGUAAUCCACCUGGGGAGUACGACCGCAAGGUUGCAACUCAAAGGAAUUGACGG